GACGAACGCUGGCGGCGUGCUUAACACAUGCAAGUCGAACGGAAAGGACCUGCUUUUGUGGGGUGCUCGAGUGGCGAACGGGUGAGUAACACGUGAGUAACCUGCCCUGGACUUUGAGAUAACUUCAGGACACUGGGGCUCAUACCGGAUAGGGGCUCCUGCUGCAUGUUGGGGGGUGGAAGGGUUCGCCGGUGAGGGAUGGACUCGCGGCGUAUUAGCUUGUUGGUGGGGUAGUGGCUUACCAGGGCGUUGACGGGUAGCGGGACGGCGAGGGUGACGAGCAGCAUUGGGACGGAUAUGACGCCGAGAAGCCUCCGGGAGGCAGCAGUAGGGAAGAAUGCACAAUGGGCGGAAGCCGGAUGCCGGAACACCGCGUGGGGGAUGACGGCCUUCGGGUUGUAGACCGCUUUCGCCUGUGACGAAGCGGGAGUGACGGUAAUGGGUAAAGAAGCACCGGCUAACUCUGUG
rnacentral:rRNA from 1 species